CCUACGGGAGGCAGCAGUGAGGAAUAUUGGUCAAUGGACGAGAGUCUGAUCCAGCCAAGUAGCGUGAAGGAUGACUGCCCUCUGGGUUGUAAACUUCAUUUAUAUGGGAAUAAAAUGUUCCACGUGUGGGAUUUUGUAUGGACCAUAUGAAUAACGAUCGGCUAACUCCGUGCCAGCAGCCGCGGUAAUACGGAGGUGCCGAGCGUUAUCCGGAUUUAUUGGGUUUAAAGGGAGCGUAGGUGGAUUGUUAAGUCAGUUGUGAAAGUUUGCGGCUCAACCGUAAAAUUGCAGUUGAAACUGGCAGUCUUGAGUACAGUAGAGGUGGGCGGAAUUCGUGGUGUAGCGGUGAAAUGCUUAGAUAUUACGAAGAACUCCGAUGGCGAAGGCAGUUCACUGGACUGCAACUGACACUGAGGCUCGAAAGUGUGGGUAUCAAACAGGAUUAGAUACCCGAGUAGUC
rnacentral:rRNA from 1 species